GAAAAGCGCCCUCAUCAAGUUAGCCAACAUCCGGGCAGCAGAAAAGGUUGAGGAAAAGAACUUUGGCAGCUCGCACGUCAUGCAGGUCAUCUACACGGACGACGCCGGCAGGCCCCAGACUGCCUACCUGCAGUGCAAGUGUGUGAAUGAGCUUAACCAGUGGCUGUCUGUGCUGCGGAAGGUGAGCAUCAACAACACCGGACUGCUGGGCUCCUACCACCCUGGCAUCUUCUGUGGGGACAAGUGGAGCUGCUGCCACCAAAAAGAGAAGACAGGUGGGAGAGGAGGCCUGGGUCCCGGGCUCUGCAUCCGUCCACUGCGAGAUCGGGCCUCUGGCUGAACGAUGGGACCGUGAGCCCUGCUGUGCACCUGCAGGGACAUAACCCAAGGAAUGCUGGCCCCUCCAGGAGCUCUGGGCAGAAAGGGUCCCGUGGACC
rnacentral:lncRNA from 1 species